rnacentral:lncRNA from 1 species
UCCCUAGGUGAUAGGGCAGUAAGGCUCCGUCUCUUCAAGUGGAAGGUGAAAUGGUUAAAAUGUAUUAAUAAGAUUGAAGAGAAGAUCAGUGGGAUUACCACUGAUAAAGUAAUAUUAUCAUAUGUUAUUUGGUACUGAACAUCUUUAAUAUCAUACUGCCUUAUGAUAUAAUAAUACUAUCUUAUUGAUAUUUUAUACUUUCAUC